rnacentral:snRNA from 1 species
GGAUGUGAAGGAGGUCUGGCUGCGGCAUGUCACCCCAUUGACUACCAGGGCUGAUGUGGCUGGCUAUGUGGCUGGCUAGGCGGGUCUUCCCUUCCUGUCUCUCCACUCCACAUGUGUCCCUCCCAAAGCUUCACACAGGGUUGAAGAGGACAACCUCCCCCAGUGGUUUCCAGUCAAGGGUACAGGAGUAGCCAUGUUCCCCUGCUAGGACCUCCAAGGAGCUCACAGGGUCUAUUUGUACAGAAACAAAGGGUAAAGAUGAAAGUGUCCAACACGAUGCGGUU